CCAGCCUGCGGGACGGCAGCGCCGCCGGAGCGUUGCCCUUUUAAGCUGUGGCCCCACUCGCCUCCACCCCGACUCCCGGAGGGACUCCGGCAGCCGACAGCGACCGACCGACCGACCGAGCGACCGAGCGACGUCCGUGGCCGCCUCGCUGCCGGAGCGGGCAGCCCAGAGCCCCAGGGCGGCGGCGGGGCCGCGGCCACCGGGCUGCCCCUGCCCUGCCCCCGCCGCUCGGGGACCAUGGGAUGCUGCACCGGCCGCUGCACCCUCAUCUUCCUCUGCACUUUGCAGCUGCUUGCUGCAUUAGAGAGGCAAGUGUUCGACUUCCUGGGAUACCAGUGGGCUCCUAUCCUGGCCAACUUCCUCCACAUCAUCAUCGUUAUCCUGGGCCUCUUUGGCACCAUCCAGUACAGGCCUCGCUACAUCGUGGUGUACGCCAUCUGGACUGCAAUUUGGGUCACCUGGAACAUCUUCAUCAUCUGCUUUUACUUAGAAGUGGGAGGGCUCUCAAAGGACAGCGAACUCCUGACGUUCAACAUCUCCCGGCACCAGUCGUGGUGGAGUGAAAAUGGCCCUGGCUGUGUAAGGAAGGAGGCUUCCAUGUCUGGCAUCAAGGGGCUGGAUAACCACUCCUACAUCUCUGUCAUAGGCUGUGCCCUGGAGUACAGGUACAUCGAGGUCAUGCACAGCUCCUUCCAGAUCCUGAUUGCGCUGGUGGGCUUUGUCUACGCCUGUUACGUCGUUAGUGUUUUUACAGAAGAAGAAGACAGCUUUGAUUUCAUUGGUGGAUUUGAUCCAUUUCCUCUCUACCAUGUCAAUGAAAAACCCACCAACCUUUUGUUCAAGCAGACAUACCUGUAGACUUUUCCCCAAACAAACAGUUUGCUGAAUAUGAACAUGAAUAUGCAAACUCUUUUGAUCAACCUGAAGCCGCAUGUGUAAGAGGCCUGCGUAAGUGAAGAGGAGCCAGAGGAUGGAUAAGCCUUGCACUCCACCAUCAAAGGUGCUGCAGGAAACAGUCCCCUGUGGCCUGGAUCUUUGGCAGAGGAAAUGCAGGAUGGUGGACUCCAUUCCAUUUUUUUGUUCCUUGUCCUCUUUUCAAAUGCAAUGAAUGUACAUCAAAGAACGGCCACACAGCUGGUUUGCAAUUCUCCAAGUGCCCUGACGAACCUUUCCUACCACAGUCUGCUGGUACUAGGCAAGAAAUGACACAGGCCUAAAGACCUCUGGCAGAACAAGUUCACCAAGAGCCUCUCUCAAGAGAUGCAGUUGAAGCUGGAGCUGCUUCCUUGCGGCCUUGGAUCCAUAAAGAAGGAAGCACUGCGUAACGCCCUGGGACAUUGCAUAUGUUCUGUAGUUAGUUCCUUCCCCUUCUCCUCUCCCUUGUUCUGAAAAGAGCCUAAAUCCCCUAACACAACUUCAUCUCCUCCCUGCCUGUGUAGAACUUGGUGGGGCCUCUUUUACAUUUGAGUUACUUAGGCUUUUUUGCUUUUUAAGUUAUAGUUGAGAACUCUUCCCUUCUUCCUCCCUGCCCAUCCAGGGCUCCCUUCCUCAUUCUCUGUAGACAUGGCAAUAAGCAUUUGUCCUGGAUUUCAGUGUCAUGUGACCUAACUCCAGUAAUGCUGAGCAGCUAAAAAACUAGUACAAGCACCAAAUCUUUACUCAGCACCAAGCUUUAUCCCAUUUCAACAUGCCAGGCCAUUCUCAGAGCAGCUGGAGCUUGCUCUGAUUUGCCCAGCUACAUUAAAUUAACACUGGUGUAGCCAUCCACACACCUUAAUUCCCCUGCAGGACACUGAAAAAGGUUUAGUUCUUCAUGGAUCACAGGGAGGGGUUGUCCCUGCCUUCUCCAUUGAGCAGCCACGCUUAUUCCAGGCACAAGCCUGGCAACAUCCCCAUGGAAGAUGGUUUUUUUUUUGUGACAGGUUUUUUUGGAGGGGAGGGAAAGGGCCAAAGGGGGAAUGUAAGUGUAAUUAAGUUGCAUUAAUGAGCUGCAGCAAUUAAUUAAAACAGAACAAAACCAACAAAAUGUCAGUUUUGUUAGCUGUGUCUCCCAGCACAAUGAGGAUCAAGCAGAGAAAGAGCACUUGGCCAGCCAGCUGUGGGAUUCUGUGGCUGGUACCUUCCAAGUGCUGCUGUAAUUUGUUGUUGUCUUACCUAAUCUGUUUGGGAUUACUUGGCAGUUUUUGAAAAAUGCUAUUCAGAAGAGUCAAGCUAGAAGCCAUGCUAGGGAGAAGUGUGAAGGAAGAAUGAAAAGAAAUAAAAACAUUAAGUGCUAAAUCAAAGACUAAAAUGAUGCAGCUUUCUUUGUUCCAUUCCAAAGAACCCAGGAAGUAAAGUCCUCUUCUAUAAACCCAAAUGUAUAAGCACCAAGAGAGCAUUUUUUUUUUUGGUUCAGUGAAGCUUCUGUUCCAGAUACCCACUGCAAAUUAACAUCCUGAGUUGUGACUGGGUGCAACUGCAAGUAAAAAUGUUGGUUUCUGGAUAGGUUUUUUUCCCCUUCUUCUGACUGAGCAGAACAGACAACUGGUUUGACACUAGUAUCAUGAUUAGAGGAAGAAAAAGCUCAACCAUCUUUCAAACAGCCCUGCCUGACAAAACAUAAUUACUCCCCUUAUUAGUCAAUAUUGUGUCAUCACUAAGUUAAAAAAUAUCAGUGAAACAAAAGCUACUCUCCAUUUCAACACCGUGAACAGCAAAGUGCAUACACUGUCUGUUGGCACUUCUUCCACCUCACCUUUGACUCAGUUCAUUUCUGCAUCACACUCAUUCCUACCUGCCCUGAUGUUCCCUGAAGGGGCAGAAAACCAAAAGGGAGCAGGAGAAUAAAUAUCCUCUAGUGAAUGA